rnacentral:rRNA from 1 species
UACGGAGGGUGCGAGCGUUGUCCGGAAUCAUUGGGCGUAAAGGGCGCGUAGGUGGCGCAGCAAGCGUGCGGUGAAAGCUCGGGGCUCAACCCCGAGUCGGCCGUGCGAACUGCUGGGCUCGAGCACUGUAGAGGCAGGCGGAAUUCCGGGUGUAGCGGUGGAAUGCGUAGAGAUCCGGGAAGAACACCGGUGGCGAAGGCGGCCUGCUGGGCAGUUGCUGACACUGAGGCGCGACGAGCGUGGGGA